rnacentral:lncRNA from 1 species
GGCUCUUUUCGCUGUUGCUGCCUUCCCGGGGGCGGUCGCUUCGCUGCCAGAGACGCUUUCUUUUUUUUCCGGGUUCUGAGCCGUUCCGGAUGCUUUAGGUUGCCGGAUGUCUGAUCUUCGGAUAACUGAGGCGUUACUGUACAUGGAUUAUCUGCUCAGGAAGGAGAAAUUCAGAAGAGGAAGGUGGUCAUAUCAAAAGGAAGUAGGGAAACAAGUAAAUAGGGAAGAAAGCAC